rnacentral:rRNA from 1 species
AGCAGUCGCCGCGGUAAUACAGAGGGUGCGAGCGUUAAUCGGAUUUACUGGGCGUAAAGCGUGCGUAGGCGGCUUCUUAAGUCGGAUGUGAAAUCCCUGAGCUUAACUUAGGAAUUGCAUUCGAUACUGGGAAGCUAGAGUAUGGGAGAGGAUGGUAGAAUUCCAGGUGUAGCGGUGAAAUGCGUAGAGAUCUGGAGGAAUACCGAUGGCGAAGGCAGCCAUCUGGCCUAAUACUGACGCUGAGGUACGAAAGCAUGGGGAGCAAACAGGAUUAGAUACCCCGGUAGUCCUGUCUCUUAUACA